UAUGUAAUUUAAAAUUCUACUGGUGCUAUUCAUAGCUAUGAAUGAUGAAAUGCCAUUAUCUGAAAACCCAAAAGGCAGGUUCCCUAGAAUGAAGGAAAGAUAUGUGAUGGGUAGAAGAAAGGCAUAGCAUAAUUGCAACAAUGACCUGCAAGAAAAUGUAGUUUCACAGACAUAAUCAAAAACAUGUUAUUGGAAAGAGAAGCAGGGAAAAAAUGCGUCAAAUCAAAAACAUAACCUCUGAAUGGCACAUUGUCAUUGUUAUCUGAAAUGUGAACAUUAAAAGUAUCUAGCACAUUAGCUAUGAAUUAAUGGAAGGUUUAGUGGGAAUAGAGGGACAAGCAUCAGCAAACUUAGAAAACAUAGGAUAGUUAUAACUAGUAAAUGCUAAUCUAUGCUCCUAAAAGGCAUACCCAUAAUUAUCUGAUCCUAAGACUGUUGAAAUAUUGAAAAUAACAAAAGUUGAUAGAUUAUGAAUCACAGAAGUGACAUUUAUUUAAAUUGAAACUUACCUGUCACUUUCGAAAGCAUCUUUAGACUUUCUUUUCCCUUUCUUCCAAAAGGGACCACAUGUCUUCAGCAUCCUUGACCUUCACUUAACAUAGUUUAGAACAUUAUAUCUGUCACUCAUUAAAGCAGUGGGGAAUAAAGGAUUAUGGAUGAAAGGGAGUAUUGAAUUAUACUGUCUAGUCAUAAGUAGUCCCUUUGAUUUGCUUGGCUUCUUGUAAUGUUAAUGAUCCAUUCAGAAAUAUAACAUGUCAGGGUUGAAAAGGAAUCUUAAGAGAUCUAGUCCAGCUCUUAAUUUUAAAAAUAAGGAGAUAAAUCUAGAAAAAAAUGAUUUGUCUAAAGACUUAGAACUAGGAAGUAGGUGAUCUAUGACUUAACUGAAAGAUAUUUGACUCAAAGCUCAGGAUGCUCCUUCCAUUCACUCAUUUGAUAAACAUAUACUAUUUACUACGUUUUUUAGGAAAUUGAAAGAAAUAAGACACAAUCUCCUGCUUUCAAGUUUACGGUCUAGUGAGUAAGAUAAGACAUUUACACAGGUAAUUGUAAAUUUCAUUCAAUAAGCAUUCUAUCUGGUAUAUAGAACGCUACCUUAGGUGCAGGGGAGAUAGAUUUUACAUAAGACAUUAUCCCUGCCUCAUGGAGUUUACACUUUAGUAAAGGGACCUGAGCUAUACAAUAUUUCAUGAUAAAUGCUUCAGUGUCAGAACACAACAUUAGAUGUACUACAAGAUUGGGAGGGGGGUCAGAGAAAGUCAUUACUAACUUACUGGUUUUACGGUAUUUAAUUUGGUUUACUUUGUUGUCACCUAACUAUGACAGCAUGGUUAAGUACUAAAAGAGAGGCAACACACACACCUUUACUGCUAUCAUGCAAUGUUUAUAUGUAUUUUCUUUAUUGGGUAGCUAGUUCAAGGAAUAUUACCAUUUUACAAAUGAGGAAAUAAGCUCAAAGAAGUAAAACAAAUGAUACGGGGCUAGAGUUGUUGUCAGACCCAAAGGCAGGAUCUAGUGCCCUUUCUUCUUUCUCACUCUGUCUUAUAAACAGUGCAUAAAAUAUUAUGGGAGAUCUGGGGAGUUAGAGUCAGGGACACUUCAGAGAUUUAUUCUACAUAUUGGGGCAGGUUUUUCAUUUGGUAAUUUUCUAAUUACUUUGUCUUCCUCUUCUAUAAUAUAUUUUUCUUUUCUUUUUUUUAAAAUAUAUUUUUCUUAUAAGAAAUUUAUAUGAUUUAAAUGUUAACCUCAAUCAUUUUAAAUAAGUGGGUGUAAUAUAUAUGGACCGAUUUGGCCUUUUUAUUCUGGAAGGAAUUUUCUUUUAAAGUCUCACUACAGAUGUACUUCAUUUUAUAUAAGCCUAGUACAUCAAUAUCUAUCUAUAUAUCUAUAUCUAUAUCUAUAGCUAUAGCUAUCUAUCUGUAUGUGUAUACACACACACACACACACAUAUAUACAUAUAUAUAUCUCCAACUCUACUCUAUCCCCUAUGUUCCAUUCUCACAUUAUCAAUGCCUUUAAAUCUUGAAAUGCAUGUCCCAUAGGUACCUCAAACUCAGUGUAUCUAAUAUAGAACUCAUUAUCUUUCCCCCCUAAACCCUUCCAUCUUUCCAAUUUUACUGUUACCAUUUAGGAUACUACUAUCCAUGAUUAAAAUGUCUUGUCAAUCUUUAUUCUUCUCUCUCCUCCCACGUAUUCAAUCUGCUAUCAAGUACACUUUCAUAUAACUCCCUUAUGUAUCAUAUCUUUCUACUCACAUAGCCACCACUUUAAUAUAAAUCCUUCUUUAUCCCUCAUCUCUAGAUUAUUGAAGCAGAUAUUCCUGCCAAGUCUCUUCCCAUUCUAAUCCAUCCUACAUCCAGCUUCCAAAAUGAUUUUCCUAAAGGACAGAUUUGACCAUGUUUCUCUUACUCAAUAAACAUGAACAGUUUCCCAUGAUCUCCAGAAUCAAAUAUUUUAAAAAAGCAACACUGAUAUUUAAAGCCCUUCACCACCUGGAUCCUUCUGGUUUAUUCCACUCUAUAAACUAUACAAAAAACUAAUAAUUUUUUUGCUGUAUUUUCAACACUAUGCUAGAUUUUUUUUAAUUAGCUAUCUCUCAUGCUUGGAAUGUACUUCCUCAUCUCAGCUUUCUGGCUUCCUUCAAGACUCAGCUCACCUUCCACCUUAUGCUGGAGAUCCUUGCCAGUCCCUCUUCACUAUUAAUACCCUCAUUGCACUGUUUAGACCUUCCCUUUGAGAGAUUACCCCUAUAUAUCUUACAUGCUUUUGUUUAUUUGUUAUUUGUUUAUUGUAUUUUCCAUUAGAAUAUGAAUUCCUUGAGUUGAGGGACCACUUUUUUUGUAUCUCUAGUACUUAACUUGACACAUAGUGAUUAAGAAAUGCUUGUUGACCAUCAAUAUGCUUUUCUAAUACAGAUAAAUUAGGAGCUAUCUUCUUUUAAUGAAAGAAUUUACACACCAACAAGUGUUCUCUCCCUUCUCAAAUAUUCUUAAAAGCCCUUUGUUGGAAUCUCUUUUGUCACCUUAACCCUCUAUUUGGUAUUAUAGUAGCCUGAAUGGUCCUAUUACUCCAAACCUAUUUUCUUGUAAUGUAGUCCCUUAAGGAAAGGAGCUGACAUUUUAUUUUCCUUGUAUUCCUAAUAAGGGCAGGAACCUUGCAUGUAACACAUGUUUAAUAAUUUUCAAAAAUUGACUUACUCAGUUUAGAAAAUAGCAGUAUAUAAAGGAAAGAACCCUGCAUUAGAAGAUAGAGCACCUGGGUUCUAAUCUCAGUUCUGAUGCUUAAUAGUUGUGCAAAUCUUUUUACUUCUUUGACCAUUUCUUCAUUGGAAUGUAAUUUCAAUUUCAAAAUCCUUUGGUAUAUGACUCUAUCCUUAUUGAUGGAGAUCAGUGAUUUGUGCCUGCAUGAGGGAAAGAGUACAGUUGGUGACAAUGAAAUAACUCUACAUUUUCCUUUCAGUCUUUUUUUUGAGCUUCUUUCCAGUUCCUGAGUCUCUUUGAGCUGUGGGCAUUUGUCUACAAGAGAAGAUGGAAGAGGUCAACCUCAGUUAAGGUUGCUGAAGGAAGAGAUUCAGGGAAGACAUAUCAGAAGCCGACAAUCAUUUUCAUAUUCUCAUUCCCAUCCGGUUAUGCUAAAAACUUCAGGGAAUUUUGCCUAAUAUGCCUGAGCCUUCCUUUGUUCAAACAACAGAAUCACCAGCGGAAGGAAAUAUAAUUCUUACAAGAGGAAAAUCCAAGUGCCUUGUUCAUCAAAAUUCCCAGAACAACUUUGUCUUCUUUAGUCAGAGGAUUAUUCACUGUCAGAGCUAAAAAAGAAAUAUUACUAAAGGAACAUUUAAAAUAAACUUUUUAUAAUCCUU